rnacentral:rRNA from 1 species
CAAUAGCGUAUAUUUAAGUUGUUGCAGUUAAAAAGCUCGUAGUUGGAUUUCGGCUGAGAACGAACGGUCCGCCGUUAGGUGUGCACUGUUUGGUCUCAGCUUCCUGGUGAGGAGGUGUGCUUCACGGCCACUUAGUCACCGUGGUUACUUUGAAAAAAUUAGAGUGUUCAAAGCGGGCUUACGCUUGAAUAUAUUAGCAUGGAAUAACACCAUAGGACUCCUGUCCUAUUUCGUUGGUCUCGGGACGGGAGUAAUGAUUAAGAGGAACAGUUGGGGGCAUUCGUAUUUCAUUGUCAGAGGUGAAAUUCUUGGAUUUAUGAAAGACGAACUUCUGCGAAAGCAUUUGCCAAGGAUGUUUUCAUUGA